rnacentral:rRNA from 1 species
CCUACGGGCGGCAGCAGUGGGGAAUAUUGCACAAUGGGGGAAACCCUGAUGCAGCGACGCCGCGUGAGUGAAGAAGUAUUUCGGUACGUAAAGCUCUAUCAGCAGGGAAGAAAAUGACGGUACCUGACUAAGAAGCCCCGGCUAACUACGUGCCAGCAGCCGCGGUAAUACGUAGGGGGCAAGCGUUAUCCGGAUUUACUGGGGGUAAAGGGAGCGUAGACGGCAGCGCAAGUCUGGAGUGAAAUCCCAUGGCUUAACCAUGGAACUGCUUUGGAAACUGUGCAGCUAGAGUGCAGGAGAGGUAAGCGGAAUUCCUAGGGUAGCGGUGAAAUGCGUAGAUAUUAGGAGGAACACCAGUGGCGAAGGCGGCUUACUGGACUGUAACUGACGUUGAGGCUCGAAAGCGUGGGGAGCAAACAGGAUUAGAUACCCCAGUAGUC